rnacentral:rRNA from 1 species
AGCGAACGUUAGCGGCGCGCCUAACACAUGCAAGUCGCACGAGAAAGGGCUUCGGCCCCGGUAAAGUGGCGCACGGGUGAGUAACACGUGGGCAACCUGCCCAACCCUGGGGGAUAACCUGCCGAAAGGCGGGCUAAUACCGCGUACGAGGGCCUGACUUCGGUCGGGUUCUGAAAGCAGGCCUCUGAAUUCAAGCUUGUGGGGUUGGAUGGGCCCGCGGUCCAUCAGCUAGUUGGUGAGGUAAAGGCUCACCAAGGCUACGACGGAUAGCUAGUCUGAGAGGAUGCUCAGCCACCCUGGAAAUGAGCGACGGUCCAGACUCCUGCGGGAGGCAGCAGUGAGGAAUCUUGCGCAAUGGGCGAAAGCCUGACGCAGCGACGCCGCGUGGGUGACGAAGGCCUUCGGGUUGUAAAGCCCUGUGGGGCGAGACGAACAGCUUCUGGUCGAACAGGCCAGGGGUUUGACGGUAUCGCCUUAGCAAGCACCGGCUAACUCUGUGCCAGCCGCCGCAGUAAUAC